ACCAAAAAUACAAAAAUUAGCCAGGCAUGGUGGUGCACACCUGUAGUCCCAG
rnacentral:antisense_RNA from 1 species